AUGAACGCUGGCGACGUGGAUAAGGCAUGCAAGUCGAAUGGUGAGAGCAAUCGAACCAUGGCGAACGAGGUAGUAACACGUAGGAACGCACCCCCGAGUCGGGCAUAACUCGCCGAAAGGCGAGAUAAUUCCCGAUAGUCUCGUAAGAGUAAAGAUUUAUCGCUUGGGGAGCGGCCUGCGGAGUAUCAGCUAGUUGGUAAGGUAAUGGCUUACCAAGGCUAUGACGCUUAGGGGAGGUGAGAGCCUGACCCCCACCGAUGGGACUGAGACACGGCCCAUACACCUACGGGUGGCUGCAGUCGAGAAUCUUCCGCAAUGGGCGCAAGCCUGACGGAGCGACGUCGCGUGGUGGAUGAAGUCCUUAGGGACGUAAACAUCUUUUAUGAGGGAGAAAUUUAUUGAUAGUACCUCAUGAAUAAGGACCUGCUAAACUCGU
rnacentral:rRNA from 1 species